UACGAGGGGUGCAAGCGUUGUUCGGAAUUACUGGGCGUAAAGCGUACCGAGGCGGAUUUGCAAGUCAGACGUGAAAGCCUCCGGUUCAACCGGAGAAAGUCGUUUGAAACUGCAAGUCUUGAGUUCUGGGGAGGUGGGUGGAAUUCCUAGUGUAGAGGUGAAAUUCGUAGAGAUUAGGAGGAACACCGGUGGCGAAAGCGGCCCACUAACCAGACACUGACGCUCUAGUACGAAAGCGUGGGUAGCAAACAGG
rnacentral:rRNA from 1 species